CACAGUCCUCACAGUCAGAAGAUUUCCCUGUAUUCAUCAUAAGAUCUCAAGAAUUACACUUUGAUAUGGUACUCGAAAGAAAACUCAUUGAGUUAAAAGCUUAAAUAUUUCAAGUUUUACAACGAAUACUAUUUCCCCAAUGGUUGAAUUAUUUAGUCACAGAACCAUUGGAUAUCUUUAAUUUUGAUGAGCCUGAUGAGGUUUCAAAUGCACAAUAAUCACAAAGGCUUCAGGAAAUCUAUCAUUAAAAAGUACUGAAUAUACUUCAGGUUUAUGGCUACUCUGCAAUAAAUUAAGCCUUCGUGGCCUUUGGUCUCAAAUCACGUCAAACAGAAAUUCACUCAACGCCUUAAAGAAUAGUUAAAAUUAAAUGAAUCAACUUCUAUACUGAUGAUAGAUGGUGUUUAUCGUGGGACAUUGUUUCUGUACAGGCAGAAUUUGGCCUGGUACAUCCAAAUCCCUGAUAACUAGUGUGUUGGUGUCAAUGUUCAGUAUAUAGUACAACCCCAGAUUUCUUCAUUCUGGAAUCAAGAAACAGAACUCUUCUACAACCAAGGGAGCUCAAUUCCUUCCAGUUGUUGGGAAAAUAUAUAUGAAACAACUAUUUUGCAUUAUGCAUUGAUAUUUACCAACAAAAGUAGACCCAGGGACCCGUAUUGGAA
rnacentral:lncRNA from 1 species